rnacentral:lncRNA from 10 species
CACAGAGUGGGGUCCUCAGUAGCUCCCGGGCAGCCCUGCCUGCACAUCUGUCUGGUCAGGAACACAGGUGCUGAGGCCUUGUCUGUGCGGGGCACCAUUCUGGGACCAGGGGUCCAUGGGAGGCAGAAAGGUGUCCAAGGAGGUAUAACCCAGGGACACUGUGGAGGCCUGGAGGGCGUCAUAGGAGGAGGACAUUUGGGGGACAUGGAACACUCAGUGUGAGGAAGGCAGAGAAGAGAGAACAGCUGCGAGAGGCCACUGGGGAGCUGGAAAGCGUGUGUCGCCAAAUACCCAAAAAGUGACAAGGGAGAAGUGGUUUCUAAUCGGCAUAGUGAGAAAUAGGCCUCGAUUAAAAACAAUAAUUCCAGAACUAAUAAAGGGAUAUAAUGUGAACAAGGAAAAGAACACAAGGCUUAGGGUCAGAAAAGCCCAGAUGUGAAUCCUGGUCCACGCUCGCUCGCUGUGUCCUUGGAAAAGAGACUAAAGCCAAGUUAACGCCCCACUGAGACGGGCGUGAGAACGGCAUCCUCACGAGGUAUGGGGGGCACGAACUGAGAGCCUGUGGCAGCAAGGACCCCCCCAGAUGUUCCUGGAAGCUGAUCAAGGCUUCAGUCAGAGCAUCAGGAGAGGAUGGGACAGGGGACGGGCUGGGCAGUGGCUGGCACUGGGGAGCAGAGAUGGAAGGGAAGGCCCAGGGCAGCGGCUCCUGGCCCCUCUCCCCUGCGCACCUGAACCCGAGCAGCAGCAGCCAUCCUUGUGCUCGGGGUCUGCAAGAUGCCCCUCAUGGGCCCCCCACCCACGGAUGACAUGGAACAUAGGACAGACAGCAUCUUGGCACACAAAAGGUCUCACAGUACUGUGGAAGGAGGAAGGGAGGAAAGAGGAGAGAGGGAAGGGAGAAGAGGCCCAGCCAGUCGUGAGGAUGGGAACCUCUGCCACUUGAGCUCUGUCCCAGAGCCCUGCAGAGGGAGGCCCCAGGCAGGCCCUGCAGAGGGAGGCCCCAGGCAGGCCCUGCAGAGGGAGGCCCCAGGCAGCCUGCUGUCGCUGGCAGCUAAGAAUGUGCUGUCCUGCUCCUAACCCAGGAGCGGAGCCUGACAUGGGGCGGGAACCCACAUUCCCCUUGGCGCGAGACAGCUGGGGAGAACUGUGUGGUGCAG